rnacentral:rRNA from 1 species
AAACAUGUCUUUAAGAAAAUAAUUUAAAGUYUGAUYUGCUCCAUGAUUGAAUUUAAAUAGCUGCAGAAUCCUGACUGUACAAAGGUAGCAUAAUCAAUAGUUUUUUAAUUGAAAGCUGGAAUGAAUGAUUUGAUAAGGUAAAAAUUGUCUCAAAUUUAAUAAUUUUGGAAUUUUUUUUUUAGUAAAAAUACUAGAAUGAUUUUAAAAGACGAGAAGACCCUAUAGAUUUUUAUAUUUUAUUUUAAAUUGAAUAGUAAAUUUAAUUAAUAGAUUUAAAUGAAAAAUAUUUGGUUGGGGAAAUUAUUAAAUUAAAAAAAUUUUAAUUAAUAUGAAACAUAAAUUAUUGAAUAUUUGAUCUUGAUUUUUAGAUUAAUAGAAUAAAAUACCUUAGGGAUAACAGCGUAAUUUUUUUGGAGAGAUCUUAUUGAUAAAAAAGUUUGCGACCUCGAUGUUGAAUUAGAAUAAAAUUUUAAUGAAGAAGUUAAAAAUUUUUGGUCUGUUCGACCAUUAAAAUUCUACGUGAU